rnacentral:rRNA from 1 species
CCUGGCUCAGAUUGAACGCUGGCGGAAUGCUUUACACAUGCAAGUCGAGCGGCAGCGCGGGGCAACCUGGCGGCGAGCGGCGAACGGGUGAGUAAUACAUCGGAACGUGCCCCAGACGUGGGGGAUAACUACUCGAAAGAGUGGCUAAUACCGCAUACGAUCUACGGAUGAAAAGCGGGGGAUCGCAAGACCUCGCGCGUCUGGAGCGGCUGAUGGCAGAUUAGGUAGUUGGUGGGAUAAAAGCCUACCAAGCCAACGAUCUGUAGCUGGUCUGAGAGGAUGAUCAGCCACACUGGGACUGAGACACGGCCCAGACUCCUACGGGAGGCAGCAGUGGGGAAUUUUGGACAAUGGGCGAAAGCCUGAUCCAGCCAUUCCGCGUGCAGGAUGAAGGCCCUCGGGUUGUAAACUGCUUUUGUACAGAACGAAAAAGCUCUGGCUAAUACCUGGAGUCCAUGACGGUACUGUAAGAAUAAGCAACCGGCUAACUACGUGCCAGCA